UAAAACAAGCAGUCUCGCUGGAGCAGUUUUGUUCCACAUUCUUCUGGCAGCUUGCUGUGUUAGUUUCAGUGAUUGGGAGGUUCUUCCAUGGCCAGCAUUGCACGAUUCCACGGUAGGAACGUGGGCCACGGGAAGUCUUUCAUUCACCCUUUCCUUGCAUUUAGACAUCACUGCCAGCUCCCAGGAGAUCCCAACCAGGCAGGCUGCCUCUCUCCUUCCUGCAAGCUUUUGGUGUUUCUUGUCACUUCUCUGUUGAAUUCCACCAUCCUUUCUUGGAUAAUACAUUCAAAGAGUGACUGUCUAUACACUAUUUUGGUUCUUCUUAGUGGAGAAGGAAGAAGAUAUGGUGGUUGAAGUUACAAGGACUCCUUGUUGUAACCAGGAGCCGAUCUUGAUCAAUGGAGCUACAUAAAGCAUGUUGAAAUGCAAAGAAAGAUAGAAGGAGCCUGUGGUACUGAAAACAUUGAGGAUUCUCUGAACCAGCCUUGGCUACCCCACCAUUUAACUUGAGAAAAAAUAUUUCUUUCCUCUUUAAGCUCUUCUUCUACCAAAUGUAUCAGGAA
rnacentral:lncRNA from 10 species